GUAAAAGUUGAUUAUAAAUAUAAAAUGAAGAUUUAUAUUCAACAUUCACUAGUAAAAGUAGACUCCAACUAGGAAAAGUAUACUCUUCCCAAUGCCAUUUAGUAAAAGUUGAUUCUGAUUCACACAAACAGCCGAUUCUAGAAAUUAAAUGUUACUGAAUAUGUUCAAAUUAGUCUAGGCUGUAUCGUCGCCCCCGUUAUUUAAAUUACUCCGAUUCGAAUUUUUUUUUCACAAAUUUGCUCAAAAAGAGGUCCUUAUAACAAAUCUACUGGGUGCCGGGCAGUACCACAGUAUAGGAGGAAUCAGUAAGCUCACUCCCCGAAAAAUGCAUUGUUUUCAAUGUUCCAAUUUGGCGAAUCUGCGCAAAGUCGUCCAAAAUUCGUUUCACCGUGCGCAUCCGAUGAGAGCGGAUACGUUUGCCGAUUGGUCGUGACCGCCAUCUGAUUUUCAUGAAUUUUGUGAGGUUGUGUUUGGGAAUUGUUUGUUGUUUUGGUUAAUUUACCAAUUUAUUUUCAUACAUUUUUCAUAUUAAUAAUAGGUAGUUAUGUAUAUUAUGUACUGUGAAUGUGAUAUUAUUUUCUUAAAUCAAUCAAAUGGAAAUGAAGCAAGCAGAAAACAAUUUUUACAAGGAACAAUGUAAAAUUAAAAUCGAAAGUUCAGGACAACCUGUGUGAUGCUGUAAUAAUUAUGUUCCUAUUCUGUUAAAACUGAGAUAGAGAGUCUUUAAAACUGAUAAAAAUAGUUAUUUCUAUGAUGGAAAUUCUUUGGACCAAAUAAAUAGAGAAGUUAUUAUUGAAGACAUCAAAUAAAAGGAGGAAAAUUUAUGUGAAAAAUGAUUUUCAUAAUAAAAGAAGAACUGACGUUAUUAUGAAACCAGUGUAUGGACGGUGUGUUUUACUGACUUAAAGCAAGAGUACCUUUUAUACUUGAAUUUGUCACAUUUUUUAAUUUCAUAAUUUUAUUUAUGUAAGUUGUGAUUGUAAAAAUAUUGUUAAGUUGUAUUCAUAGUUCUCUACUUGUUCUUUUGAAGUACUGUUUUUAUUAUAAUUGGUAUUGUAAAGUUGAAAUCCUCAAAUCAAAAUAUAAUUUAUAAUUCGAA